ensembl:lncRNA
GACUACGACCCUCCUAGUGAAGGACAGGUCGGAGGUCAUGACCCCACGCUGACCCUGCUGGCCAGGAUCGACCAGGAAGUCACGCUCUCUGAGCCCCGCCCCCAACCUGAGGUAACACACACACACACACACACACACACACACACACACACACACACACACACACACACACACACACACACACAGAGCUCCUGUAACCUUGGAGACGGUGGUCAAGGUGAUGUGAUCUGAUGACCUCUGACCUCUUGUGUUCUCCAGGGGUCCUGGGGGGAGGAGGAGGAGGAGGGGGAGGAGGUGAGCAUCGGGGAGGUCAGGGGGGGUCACACAUCCUCGCUAGCGGACCCCCGGCAACAACGGACUACAAACUCCCAGAGGACUACAAACCCCAGCAGGAGUAGGAGGGGGGGAGGAGGAGGAGGAGGAGGAGGAGGAGGAGGAGAAGGAGGAGAAGGGGAGCAGGAGAAGAGCGACACCGCGACGGCAGGUAGAGCGACCCCAGACCAGCGGCCCCCGGCUCCGGUACCCCCGGUGUGUGACACGCUGUGGUUCUGCUGUGUUCCCAGGGUUACGCUACGCACCGACCAAUCAGGGCCCGGUAACCAUGGGAGACCUAAAGGCCGAGCCAAUCGGUGAAGCUGUGAUGAACUCCUCGCUUCAGGCCGACCAAUCACACUCACCCCAACCGAUGGAGAGCACACCUAAGUCCUCCAGGCCUCUGGAGGCUCUCAGAGCACAACCUACCAUGGUGAGACCCUACGACCCCACCCUGCCAGGUACACACACACACACACACACACACACACACACACACACACACACACACACACACACACACACACACACACACACACACACCCUCAGUAGACGGAGUUCAAAGACGUGUGUUUGUGUGUUGUGCAGGGGAACAGGAACAGGAAGUGAUGCGUGGCCGCAGGAAGCUUCAGGUCCUUCUUCCCUCGCUGAUCAACGAGGAAGAGGAGGAUGAGGAUAACUGAUGAUGUCAUCGGCCAGAGGGGAGGAGGGAGGUUUUACUACUAUACGAUAAUGUUUUUUAUUGAUAUUUUCAAAUAAAUGCUUGUCUAAAUUUGACGCUUGACUGAUGAUGAUCGUGUUCGUUCUGGUAAUCUCAAAUAAACAUUUAAAUAUCCAUUUAUUGUUAGGUUAUAAUGGAGUAGGGAACCCAAAAAUGUUUUUUGGGGUUUAAUUUUAAACAUGGUCACAUGUCUUGUAUGAUGAAGGAGAGAGUGUGUGUGUGUGUGUGUGUGUGUGUGUGUGUGUGUGUGUGUGUGUGUGUGUGUGUGUGUGUGUGUGUGUGUGUGUGUGUGUGUGUGUGUGUGUGGAGCUGUGCCUGGCCAGAGAGUGUUCAGUUUCCCGCACACCUGAAGUCCAACACCAGGGUGUGUGGGGAAUCUCCCACAUGACCACGCUCACUAUAACCCCCCUACACAACGGUACAGUGAAAUAAUGACGUUGGCGUCGUUACCAUGGUGAUAACAAUCCCCCACCCCCCUCCUACCUAGAACGCCUGGACCCAGAGUGAGGGAGAGAGGGAGUGUGACGUUCGCUCUUAAACUCCUAAACUGACAUGGAUCAAUCUUGGGCCAGCUGAAAAAAGAUUGAUAAUUCUAUUCCACAUUUUUUUAAUUACGGGCUACCUAAAUAAAAGCUCUAGAACUGAAUAAUAUUUGCUGAAACAAAUGUGAACAUGUUGACCUUCGUAACGUGGACAUCUAUGCAUAGAAUGAACACUUCCCUCCAUGGGCUGCAGACUGACCGCAGGCUCAGACCUCCUGCAUUCACGACCUCAGCAGGGAUCAUUACUUGCCAGAUACGAGAGAAGAUGUUAUAACUGCGACACAAGUACAUUUUAGGGUGUUGUAAGGCGGAGAUUAAAAGCUAUUACUUACCGCUUUGCUCUGCCCGACCGCCCACCUGAUGGGCCAUAUCUCCCCUGUUGAGUCGCACUUUGAGCUCAUUAAUUGGAGGGUUGAGUGUUGAAUGAGUGGAGAAGACUGUUACGUAUUUUAAGAACAUAAGCUGCCCCCACAUAGCCUCUAGGAAGCUGAUUCAAACACACAAGCUGUAUUACCCUCACAUAGCCACUAGGAAGCCGGACCGAACAUAUAAGCCGUAAAUACUGCACAUAGCCACAAGGGGAGCAGGACCUUACUGAAGACUGCAAUAGCUACUCCAUCCACAGAAGGCAGCACCUUUAGACAGGUGAGGAAGCCGAGGCUAAUACGCCACAUAGGCCACGCCUACUAGGUAUUUAAACAGGUCCGGAAGCAAAACCAAGGCAUAUAUUUCCGGUAGUGCAGACUUGCGGGUUAGAGGUAUUGGCCAGCUGGGAGUCACUCGCACGUGUUCAAUACAAUUCCCCUCCUUUUGCUUCGUAGUUACCAUACCGAAAUACUUUGACAAAUAAAGUGAGUUAAAAGCGAUCCGUAUUGGACUACUUUCUUCGAAGAACGCAGCAAGACAGAGAACUUCCUCAUUGUGGUGCAUGCCUUUUCUCACCGGAGGUCCUCGAUCAGGUAGGCCUCCGUCACGACUCUGCUCCAGCUAAGACUCCGCAUUCCUCCAGAUGUUUAAUAGCGUAUCUUUAGACGGCAGCUUGUGACACUAGGCCACAUAUUUAAUAUUUUAGGAUACACUGUAAAAAGAUUACCUGGUUUCAAUAUGUAAAGAAUUCACAGGUAUAAUGUGGUGAUCCUAAAGUAAUGUUCCUACCUUAAUAUGUACCUGUGGCCUUAUAUUUAUAUGUAUUUAUUUUAUAUUUAUGACUGUUAUUGUUUUCUGACCGGGGGAUCGGUGUUCCGCAAAUCAGCUGACGUGCCUGUCAGCUGACGGGAUGAGGUUCGAGAGGUUUUAAAUACAAGGAAAUGAAUGAAUGGGGGAGGCGUAAUGAAUGAAUGGAGGGAGUCUGAGAGGGACCUCUAGAAAACGCCAGUCCAACUGAGAAAGCUUAAUAGUGGAAAAGCUGUAAGAACCACUGGACAAAGUCGACAACUCUUGCCGACUCUUUGGAUACGUCGGUAAGAGCGAUUUAUAUUUUUUGCUGGAGGUUUUUGUUACGACCUGGGUCAUCUUGUUUUUCUUUGCCUAUUUUUUCCCCGGACGUAAGAGACAGUUGCUGGCGGAGUUUUGUUCGGGGACAUCGGGGAUUUCGUUUGGAUAUUCUUUUUUGUUUGCUUUGAACUAGAGGGAGAACGCGCGAGUGUGCGCAAGGGGCACGCAAAUGGAGGCCGCUUAUUAACGCGGUUAUCAGAUCACAUCGGCGGAAAAGACUUUUGGGGAAUCUGGACUGUGGGUUUAUUUGAGGGUUGUUUGGUGAAUGUAUAUGGAAAUAUGAACAGUUUGAAAAUAUAUGGGUUAAUGUAAUUCCCUGAGCUAUAUCCUCGUUAUGUGUAUUAUUAUUAAGUGGUCUCAAACGAACACAAUCAAUGUGCUUGGUUCUCAAAUUAAGAAACUCGCGUUUCUAUCGUAAUAAUUGGGCUAAAAGAUUAGUCGAAGUGUUACAAGCUUAUCUUUCCCAGACACGCACUCCGUGAUUUCAGACUUGAGUGUGUGUGACGUCCCCCCUCGUAGACACUUUAGCAAAACUAACACUUUAACAACGACAAACGCUGAAUUCAAGAAGAAGCUAGGCUACUGAGGCAAACAGCUAGGCUACUGAGUCAUGUAGCUAGGCUACUGAGGUAUGAAGCUAGGCUAAUGAGUCGUGUAGCUAGGCUAGUGAAGGCCUCGCCCAACCAGAGACGGUGCCACGUAUGCUGCGCCAGUACCCAUGGCCAGUACUCACUGAAUGUUGAUCUUCCAAUGGACAUGUAUUUUAUUUUAUUUAAGCCUCUGUGUAUUCAAAGAA